GACUGGGGUCGGGUUGGCCGUAGUAAGUACAGGCGGCGCCGGCGGCGCACAGGAGCGGCUGGGACCGGCGGGGAUGACGCCGGAGAUUGGUUUCGGCCAGAGGAGUGCGAUCACCUCUAGUUAGGAUGACUUCCAGAGGCCGAAAACCAAUGUGGUGGAGACAAGUGGAGGGAGGAGUUGAGAGGGAGGUCGAUGUGGCUUUUCCGGCGGCCGGUGGUGCUCGCCAGCUGCCGAGGCGUGCGCAGGAGUGGGGCAGAAGGGUGUUGCAACGGUUAGUGUUAGCUGAAUAGACUGGGGUGGCUAGGUCUAGGGUUUGGUGCAAA
rnacentral:lncRNA from 1 species